rnacentral:rRNA from 1 species
UACGUAGGGUGCGAGCGUUAAUCGGAAUUACUGGGCGUAAAGCGUGCGCAGGCGGUUACAUAAGACAGAUGUGAAAUCCCCGGGCUCAACCUGGGAACUGCGUUUGUGACUGUGUGACUAGAGUACGGCAGAGGGGGGUGGAAUUCCUGGUGUAGCAGUGAAAUGCGUAGAUAUCAGGAGGAACAUCGAUGGCGAAGGCAGCCCCCUGGGCCCGUACUGACGCUCAUGCACGAAAGCGUGGGGAGCAAACAGG